GGCUGCCGUUUCCAUCAAAACAGACGUCGCAAGAAGGACUCUUCCUCUUUUCAGACGAUCUGGGGAUUUUCUCUCUGGAACGACCGUCGCCGCCAUCACCGUCUCCCUCCCUGCUUCAUCGGUAAGCCUUUAAUUUAUAAUCUCUGAUGGUCAUCGACGUCGCACGAGAGAGCGAGAGCGAUUUUGCGGUUUCUGUUUUUCUUUUGUGUUUCGAAUAAUUUGUAGGUUUCGCAAUCGAUCUCUCGUUCUCUCUGCAAGUUAUCGAUUAUUCUUGGAAUUUCGAGCUGCAGAGCACGAAAAGGGAGGAUCUGCGAAUAGCUAUAUUGUGCUGGUUGUGUCUUGUAUCUGGUUGAUUUAUCUGUUGUUGGUCUGGUUUAGGGUUUGGUGAAUUUAGAGAUUUUGUGAAAAACUGAGAAAAUUUGAUGUUUGUUCGUGGUUGGGGUUUUAAAGGUGUCAAUUUUUGAGUUGGCAAGGGGUUUGUUUAGGGGCGAGCGUUCCAUUGAGUAUUAGGUUCUUUGUAUCUAUGGCGGCAGGAAGACAUGGAGGUUACCGUGAUAAUGAAUUCAAGGACCGUGAGUCUGAUUUGUCGAGGCGGGAGUUUGCUUUUUCAAAAGAGGAGUACAGCCUGCGGAGAAAUGGUAAUCGGGAUCAGGAGCGGGAUACAAGAGAAAAAGAUAGGGUUAGGAUUCGGCAGAAGGAUAUCAAAGAGAGAGAAGUUGUAAAUGGUGGGUACCGAUCAACUUCAAGUAGAAGUAACUCUGGCAGCAGUGGUGGAAGUGGUGGUGGGCAUAGUAGUCGCCGUGGAUUUUCUGUUAGAGCUGUUGAUCGAGAGCCAGGUGAGUUGUCUAGCGAUAGUGAGUCUGAUUAUACCAUCGACUCUGAAUCACUAGUAAAAGAUAAUAACGAGGUUUCAAAGUUAGAGAAUGACACGCGGUCACCUUUGAAUAAUAGAAAGAGGAAGUUUUCACCCAUUGUUUGGGAUAGAGAAGAUAAAGAAGUAAGCCACGCUUAUAAAAGCAAUGUUGGAAUGCCAAAUGAAACUCUUCCUCCACCUCUGCUCCCUAAGGCACAUCGCCCGUCACCUAAUCUCAUCCCAAAUGGGGUUGUACAGAGUUCUCCAAUUGAAAAUAGUCAACUCCAGAUCUCACAAGCUUCACCAGUUAAGCCUGCAGUGGCUAUGGGGUCCCAUGGGGAUGGUCUGCCUGAAUCUCCAGUAGGUUCGUCUUCUCCACAACAGCAGCAGCAGCAGCAGCACUGGGGUAAUGAUCAGGAAGCUGAUCAGCUAGAAGAUGAGUAUUAUGUUCCAACCACCAGGAAUAUAUCUGCGUCUCGUUGGGCCGAUGAAUCCAAUUCUCCAGCUGAUGAGGGUGAGAUUUCAGAUGAUGAACAAAUUCCUAAAAGGGGGAAGAAAAUUCUUCUUUCUGAGUCUUCAGAUGCAAGAUUAAAUCGCAGGCCAUUGAGUCCCGAAAUCAGGGAGCUUAAGAGAGAUGGCUCUGAUGGAACAAGGGCAAAAUCAUCUGAUUCUGAUGAAGGAGGAAUUCAUGGAGAUGAUUAUCCUGAUAAUGAUUUUGAUAAGAGUGACUAUAUGGAGAUAGAUGAAGAGUGUGAUACUAAUGGUAAUAGUGCCAACCAAUCAGAUACAGAUUGUGAGGACGAGAGUAAUUCCCGUGAUACGCCAGAGCCUGUGGUCCCUCAAAGAAGUGUAAAUAUGCUUCAGGGAUGUAGAAGUGUUGAUGAGUUUGAGAGAUUGAACAAAAUAGAUGAGGGCACCUAUGGUGUUGUCUACAGAGCUAAAGAUAAAAAGACGGGGGAAAUUGUUGCACUUAAGAAGGUGAAGAUGGAGAAAGAAAGAGAAGGUUUUCCUUUGACUUCUUUGAGGGAAAUAAAUAUUCUUCUUUCUUUUCAUAAUCCAUCAAUUGUGGAUGUGAAAGAAGUUGUAGUGGGAAGCAGCAUUGAUAGUAUUUUCAUGGUCAUGGAAUACAUGGAGCAUGAUCUCAAAGGACUUAUGGAGACAAUGAAGCAGCCAUUUAGUCAGAGUGAGGUUAAAUGCUUAAUGCUCCAGUUAUUGGAGGGUGUCAAGUAUCUUCAUGAUAAUUGGGUGCUUCACAGAGAUUUGAAAACAUCAAAUUUGCUUUUGAAUAAUCGGGGUGAGUUAAAGAUUUGUGAUUUUGGUUUGUCUCGUCAAUAUGGGAGCCCAUUGAAACCAUAUACUCAUUUGGUGGUUACUCUAUGGUACAGGGCACCUGAACUACUGUUGGGAGCUAAACAAUACUCAACAGCGAUUGAUAUGUGGUCACUGGGUUGUAUUAUGGCUGAAUUGUUAUCUAAGCAACCACUGUUUAAUGGGAAAACUGAAUUUGAUCAGCUUGACAAGAUCUUCAGAACUCUUGGUACCCCAAGUGAGACGAUUUGGCCUGGGUUUUCCAAAUUACCUGGAGUGAAGGUCAAUUUUGUCAAGCACCAGUAUAACCUAUUACGUAAAAAGUUUCCUGCUACCUCGUUCACUGGAUCUCCUGUUCUCUCUGAUUCUGGAUUUGACUUAUUGAACAAACUUCUAACUUACGACCCUGAGAAGCGGAUAACUGCCGAAGCUGCUCUUAACCAUGAGUGGUUCCGUGAAGUACCUCUUCCCAAGUCUAAAGAUUUUAUGCCUACUUUUCCUGCUCAGCAUGCUCAAGACCGGCGUAUGCGGAGAAUAAUGAAGAGUCCAGAUCCAUUAGAAGAGCAGCGUAGAAAGGAGCUGCAGCAAGGGGAGUUGGGAACGGGGGGUUUGUUUGGUUAAGCUAAUAAACAGGUGUUUGCUGGCCUUCGGUAUCAAUGCUUGAGUUUUUCAGUGCUUCCAGAUGGAAAUGGUUGAGGUGAGAAGAUGCACUGAACGGAAGUUUCAAACAUUUUUUGUCAGACGAUCAUUCAUGCUGUUUUUUUAGCAGGCAACUGGAUGAUUUCAUCUCUUCCUGAGCAGAUUUGUUGCAGGUUAACAUUGUUCACCAGCAUCCGCCAUGUAGGAAUGCUUGUGACACUUGCAUUGCAAGAGACUGUUGGUGUAAGGCGGAGGGGACGUUCUUUGCUUUUCAUUGAUGGAGAAGUUGACAGAAACAUUUGUACUUUUAAGUAUCAAAGCAAGCAGGUUGAGGAGGUCACCUGCAUUCACAAGAAUUUAUAGAACUUCCAAUUGUGUUUUCCGUUCUACAGGGAUUGAUAAGUUCCUUCUGGCUCAAUAGAGUGUUUGUUUCGCAGGAAUAGGUUUCACAUGACUUGACUGGGCUGAAUAGCAUCAACUGAGUUAGCUAUGAUCCUAUAUUCCUAUCUCAUGUUUGGCCUCCCAUUUAGAAGGGACAUGAUAAGGACAUGAGCAGAAUUUUAUUUUAUUUUGAUUUUUAUGCUAAUAAUAACAUAGUCAUGUGCCCUCAGCUGUCUGGUUGAGGGGAGGGGAACUGGCAGCUCUUGCCAUAUGUAUUAAAUGAGGAGCCGAUCGUGCUCCCCCCCUCCCUUAGCUUGUCCAGUCACUCUCUUUGGCCACGCCAACAGAGGCAAUGAGAACUUAGCCAAGCCUAUAUUGCUUUAGCCUGGGAAACAAACAUGCUGUUAGCGACUAGGAUUCCAAAUUUUGCCUGCCUUCAUGUGGUUCUAUGAUUUCCCCUUCUAUUUUGGCAGGAGUGCAAUUAGAACACAUGCCUAAUACAUUUCUAGGGACCAUUGUAAAGUUAUUUCUAGUAAUUGUGAAAUUGUGCUUCAAAAUGCUGUUAGAAUUGUUUGCAUUUA